rnacentral:lncRNA from 1 species
AACACCUCCCUGGGCCCUGAAUAGAAAGCCUGGAAUUCUCCAGGGUCCUCUGCCCGUGGGUCGUGACCCCUUCAGGAUUAUGUCGAAUAUCCUACAGAUCAGACGUUUACAUUGCGAUUCAUAAAAGUAGCGAAAUUAAAGUUAUGAAGUAGCCACAAGAUAAUUUUGUGUUUGGGGGGUGUGGCACUCCAACAGGAGGUUCUCAGCAUUAGGAAGGUCAGGACCCUCUGUUUGGCAGGGUUUUCUUCUCUGUAGACGCUUUCCUCUCUGGCUCUUCUUCUGUAAGAAGGGCAUUUAGUGUACCUUUGUUAAAGGCCAGAACAAAACGCCUACGGUUUCGCACUCUGCCCUGUGCUAGGGGCUCUCCUUAGAGUCAUCGCCACAUACAGAAAUAAGCAGUUUUACUCAGAACCCUGCAGUUUCAUCUGGUCCUGACUCUGAUCAUCCCAGAAGCCUAAAGGAAACCCCAUAAUAUCUGUGACGUAUAAUUUUGCGUUCUCGCUUGCCUAUAGAAUAGACAGUUUUUUCUAGGGCUCUUAAUUCUUAAUUUUUAAUGCUCUUGGCUACAUGUGAUUAAUUGUCAAAUCUUGAAGGAAAAAAAUCACAUAAAUACCUUAUUCUCAUCCAAAAUAGCUCAUAGAGAGUUUUCUAAACUGGCUAGAGGUGACAUCUCUCACUGCUCGUGAUACGGGCUUCUCUUUAGAAAUCCUUUGUUUCUCCAAAUGUGUGAAUUUAGUUCUUUCCUGGCCUACUACUUUUUCCAAGUUCUGUGGAGCAGAGGGCAGGCUAGCUGCUGAUGACAGAGUCAUUUAGCAGUUGUAUGCUAUGUUAAAGAAGUGGCCUGGCUGGGAGGGCUCUAGAGUCCUGAAAGCUGCAGUUGCCCAAUGGAGAAGGAUGCUUCCUCUACACAUCCCCUCCUCCACUUUAAACACAGAUAAUCCAAGAGUCACAAUAACCGCUCUCCAAUGAGCACAGAUUCCAAAGCGAGUGUAUAAUGAACGAUAAAGGGGGGAAAGGAGGAAGGACAGAGUUGUGGGAGAUGAUUGACAGGUGGAAGAGAGGAUUCUGGGAAGAUGGCAAGGUAGGAGGCACCACAGUCUGCCACUCUGCCUGGAUGGUGGUGGUUCUGGCACUCUCUGUGGCACAUGAAUUCUGGCAUCUGCUGGAGUCUUACUGUGUCCAGGCAAGAAAGACUACAGUUGUUUUUGCUCAGUUUCAGCUCAUGAGACAUCAUCAUCUGGCCAUUUCUCAGCCAUACCCCCUAACAAACAGUCAUGUCCGUACCCAUGGACCAGCUAACCCUUAUUCAGACCUUGGGGAUCCAUGCUCCAGUGUCUCCUCACUUUUUCAGACCACAGAGGUUCAGAUACUGAUGUCAGUGUCCAUCAUUUUCUCACCCCGCCCUUUCCCCAGAUUGUUGCAAGCCCCUCCCCUUCAGGCUGAAAGGCUUGAUGGGAGAUUCUCCCCUUCCAUUUUUUUUUCUGUUUCUCAUUUGGGGAUUCAAACACUAAUGACUAGCUCUCCAUUAGUCACCUUUCCUUUUAUAGUGAUAAAAAUACCUUACAAGAGCAACUUCAGGGAGAAAAGCUUCACACAUUUGUGGGGGCAGGCACUUGAGGUAACUGAGUAUCUUGCACCUACAGUGGGAAGCAGAGAGCUCUGAACACAGGUGCUCAGCUUGUUACUCCAUUUAAUGCAUGCCUGGAUACAAGCCUGGGAAUAGGGUGGAUCUUCUACCUCAAUUUACUUGAUCAAAACAACAACAACAACAACAACAACAAAAACCAAAACCAAAAACAAAAAACAAAAAACCUCUCAUAAGAAUGGCAAAGGUUAGAUAACUAGGAAUCUAUCCAGUCUGGAUAACUAAGAAUCUAUCCAGUCUAGAUAACUAGGAAUGCCCAGAGGCCUAUUACCUAGCAGAUUCAACUCUUUCAAGGAAACUCAAAGGUAAACUUAUGUAU